rnacentral:rRNA from 1 species
CAGCAGGCGCGAAAACUUUACAAUGCCGGCAACGGCGAUAAGGGAACCUCGAGUGCCAGGUUACAAAUCUGGCUGUCGUGAUGCCUAAAAAGCAUUGCAUAGCAAGGGCCGGGCAAGACCGGUGCCAGCCGCCGCGGUAACACCGGCGGCUCGAGUGGUAACCGUUAUUAUUGGGUCUAAAGGGUCUGUAGCCGGCCGGGUAAGUCUCUUGGGAAAUCUGGCAGCUUAACUGUCAGGCUUUCAGGAGAUACUGCCUGGCUCGAGGCCGGGAGAAGUGAGAGGUACUUCAGGGGUAGGGGUGAAAUCUUGUAAUCCUUGAAGGACCACCAGUGGCGAAGGCGUCUCACCAGAACGGACCUGACGGCAAGGGACGAAAGCUAGGGGCACGAACCGGAUUAGAUACCCGGGUAGUCCUAGCCGUAAACGAUACUCGCUAGGUGUCGGCCACGGUGCGACCGUGGUCGGUGCCGUAGGGAAGCCGUGAAGCGAGCCACCUGGGAAGUACGGCCGCAAGGCUGAAACUUAAAGGAAUUGGCGGGGGA